CAAAAAGAACUGCGGAGCAUUGUGGGUAAACCGGAACCAGGCUACCAACCUUAUUGUAUGAUAUAUGCAUUUCACGCGCCUUCUUCACAAGUAGUCGGGAAAGAAAGCAAUGGUCCCGCCCACGCCAUGAUCAACGGACAUCAUCACUGAUGAUAUUUUGAUGACGUGUGCGACGUACAAGUAAUGCACCAUUCCCAGCCAUUUAGGAAGUAGACGUAGCGAUAACUAUGAAAAAUGACCAUAUCUGGAGAAGACAAUCGAAUAAAGAAUGCGAGUGAUUGAAAACUCUCAGAAAUGGCCAAGAAUCACGUUGGUGUACAAUGCGUCAAUGCAAAAGAACCAGGUGUUCAUUAUAAUAGACUAAUAUACUUUUUCGAAUUUUUAUUUAAAGAAUAAAUGUCUUGGGGUUUUUUUUGGGGGGGGGGGGUAUAAGAAUAUUGGAAGCCUAGGGGGGAUUUGCGUCGGUCCUCCCUGAAGUAGAUAAACUAGAUAUGCAUAAAUUCCCUAUACUUCUGUGUCAACACUUGUAUACCACAGAAAAUGAAACAGCAAAGGUCAACUCAACUGGUGCCAAUAUAUUACUAAAGUCCAUAAUUGCGACUGUUCUAUAUAUACAUGUUUAAUAAAUAAAAUCCAAUUUGAAGGUGACAUGAUUUUUGUUUAAUUUCAAAAUUAUUGAAUUCAUGUUUCUUUUCUUCAUUUUGCUGAUAGUGAAAAUUCCAUCUGUUUGCAUUGCACGGUUCGCGUAGGUGUAAGGAGUCGAUGCGUUAACGUUGAUUUUACUUCAGAUGUAAAUUAAAACGAAGCAAUACUGCUAUUAUAGUUUUGACAGAGAUUUCCUAUUUCGAUCUUAUAUGCAUUGAUAGUCGAGAAAAAACUGGGGAUAGUGAGGUAAUAAAGAGAGUCUCGCCAUGCCCUACACGUUAAUGGUGAGCUGACGCAUUUUAUAAUAGAGAGAGAGGUCUGUCACACGCUUGUCAAAUCUACAUCCGAUAAGAGUUUAAUUGAUGCUAUAAAUUAUAUCUCGCUAAUGAUCCAGUUUUAAUGCGAAAGCUUCGAAUCACGACUCUUGUAGUUUCUGAUAUUGGUAGAUAUAAAAUAUACCACAUUUUCGUACUCUCACUAUGCUUCCAGGCUCAAACGUUAAUGCCUUUUUACGACCUGUGGUGCAUUUUUUUUCUUUCAGAGAACUACAUUGCUCCAUUUGAAUUAUUUAGAAUAAUCAAUAUAAACUUCAAUUAUGUUUUGAAAACCUUUGUAUAGGUCAGAUGGAAGGGCUGGUUUGCACUUCUCUCACUUGCAAAGCAUGGGGUACUACAGUGAUUUUCUGUCUUAAAAUUCGAAGAGGAUUAUUUUCAUGAAAGAAUUAAUAUACUGAAAAAUUAUAUACAUACAUACACACACGCAUACAUAUAACCGCCGCGGUGGUCAAGGGGUUAGAGCGUUUAUCUCGCAUGCGGAAGGUUCGAAUCCUGGCCGCGACAGACCUGAGUCGUUAAAACAGGUAGUGACAGUUCCAUCGCCAAACGCUUGGCAAUAGGUGUGAAUGUCACGGAUCCUCAGAGAUGACCUUAAACACGGAUGUCCCGUGUCACAGCAGGUGACACUAAAGAACCCUCACUGCUCAAUGGCCGUAAGCGCCGAGCAAAGGCCUAAAUUUGAAGCCCUUCACCGGUCUUGGUGACGUCUCCAUAUGAGUGAAAAAUUCUCGAGUGAGACGUUAAACAAGAUACAAUCA